AGGCAGGACUCACAAGCCCUUGAACUUUAUUCCAGAUCUGUUAGCACCUACAGGACCCUGCACCAGGAUUUCAUCUGUACUAUCAGCUUCUUCAAAGAGAGAGAGGUUGUUGAAUGUUGCCAAAUGUCUCUGCAAAGAGGUUGUACCAAUUUGUCCUCCCUAGGCCAUGUAUGGAAUUAUCAUGGCCCUGCAUUUUCCAUUUAAUGAGGAUACAGCAUAAACACCAACUCACUGAUUGAGUUUACUUUUCUUUUCUUUUCUUUUUUAUUAUACUUUAAGUUUUAGGGUACAUAUGCACAACGUGCAGGUUAGUUACAUAUGUAUACAUGUGUCAUGUUGGUGUGCUGUACCCAUUAACUCAUCAUUUAACAUUAAGUAUAUCUCCUAAUGCUAUCCCUCCCCCCAGCCCACAACAGGCCCCAGUGUGUGAUGUUCCCCUUCCUGUGUCCAUGUGUUCUCAUUGUUCAAUUCCCACCUAUGAGUGAGAACAUGCAGUGUUUGGUUUUUUGUCCUUGCGCUAGUUUGCUGAGAAUGAUGGUUUCCAGCUUCAUCCAUGUCCCUACAAAGGACAUGAACUCAUCAUUUUUUAUGGCUGCAUAGUAAUCCAUGGUGUAUAUGUGCCACAUUUUCUUAAUCCAGUCUAUCAUUGUUGGACAUUUGGGUUGGCUCCAAGUCUUUGCUAUUGUGUGAAUAGUGCUGCAAUAAACAUACGUGUGCAUGUGUCUUUAUAGCAGCAUGAUUUAUAAUCCUUUGGGUAUAUACCCAGUAAUGGGAUGGCUGGGUCAAAUGGUAUUUCUAGUUCUAGAUCCCUGAGGCAUCGCCACACUGACUUCCACAAUGGUUGAACUAGUUUACAGUCCCACCAACAGUGUAAAAGUGUUCCUAUUUCUCCACAUCCUCUCCAGCACCUGUUGUUUCCUGACUUUUUAAUGAUCACCAUUCUAACUGGUGUGAGAUGGUAUCUCAUUGUGGUUUUGAUUUGCAUUUCUCUGAUGGCCAGUGAUGAUGAGCAUUUUUUCAUGUGUCUUUUGGCUGCAUAAAUGUCUUCUUUUGAGAAGUGUCUGUUCAUAUCCUUUGCCCACUUUUUGAUGGGGUUGUUUGUUUUUUUCUUGUAAAUUUGUUUGAGUUCAUUGUAGAUUCUUAUUCCAGGACAUAUUUAAGACAUAAAGUUGGAUCAUUAUGUUUCCAUUUGGUAAUUUAAAUGUGAAAUAUGCCAUUUAUAGGAAAAUAAAAUAUGGAAAAUGAAAAAUAAUCUAACAUUCCAACAAAAGUAUAUCACAUUAGCAAAUAUUAAUAAUAUAGUGAAACCCAUUAUUUGUACAGAUCUUGGAAAAUGAGUAUUCAUAUCUUGUAUUUCAUUGUGACAAAUUAGCAAAGAGAUUUUAAGGUGAAUUAGACAAAUGUUUAAUAUUCAUGCUUUUUGAGGAAGCAGUCCCACUUGUGGAAACUUAUACUCUGGUUAACAGCCUGAGAGGUCCUUGCCAUCAUCAAUCAUGUGUCCCUCCUGCUCAGUGCUGAGCUGACCAUUUGCCUAAUUGGCUUGGUGCCUUAAGGACUCCCUGACCCUGUUCCAUCCAUCCUUUUAUCCAAAGAGAAAAAUAGGUCUCAUGGCUGGAUGCCCAAUUUCAAUGGACCUUGGGGUUGGAUCAAACCCAAGGGUUGAUAUGGAGCAGUGCUCAGAUCCUUACUCCUGGAGGGACAAGUAGAUCUCUGGCCUCAUCCCUAUUUGGGAUAAAUCUCUCUUCCUCUCCUUUCUCUAUGUCCUCAGAGGCCUUCCCUUUCCUACCAGAUAACAAGCAGUCCAAUCUUUCCCUUAAGUUUAAGUUUCCUAAAGAAUGGAAGAAACUGGAUUCAGACAUCUUUGGCUCCCAACCCUGUCAUAAACCUCCCCUAAGGCAAGGGGAAGGAACACCAAGCCUGGUUCCUUGCUGGAAAUGCAAGGAGGGUAAACACAGGGAGGACAGACAUUAACUUCCUUAACAGUGUGUGUCCAGAUACAUUUGCUAAAGAUCUGCCACCAGCACUUAAGGUGCCCAGGUUGCCAGCUACUAUCUCUGGCUCUCUCAGUUUCUGUGGUAAUCAAAUCCUUUGCCAUUCUACUUUGCCCUUGCUCAUCUGUAAAAGGGGACUCACAAUGCCUUUCUUAGACAAAUUUUCUGUGGGGUAAAUGAGAAAUCCCAUACAGAGUAGAUGGCACCUAGUAGAACUUCAACGAAUGGUCAUCCAGGCCCACCUUUUUCCUCCCUCCCAGAGAAGUGAUGACUGUUAUCUAAACCAAGCAGCAUAAUUGCCACAGAGACCACCUGGAAGGAGAGCAGGAAGAUGGAGCAUGUGCUCACACUUACAUUAUACAUGGACCUUUGGGGCCAUUUCUGUGUUGCAGGAUGGUUUGCUGAGGUAUUGGAGUGAGAUGAGAAGAUCGUCAAACCAAUCCCCUAUCAUUUUCUGCCCCCUCAUUUGAUCUGCUACGUUGAUUUGGAAAAGCAGUUUCUAUUGAGCCUCAAAUGAAGAGAGAGUGCAGAUGAAGAGGAGGCAGGAGUCAUAAGCCUUUGACCCUUAUACCAGACCCAUUACCACCUAUAGGACCUUGCACUGGGAUUUCAUCUGCACGAUCAGCUCUUUCAAAGAGAGAGAGGUUGUUGAGUGAGUACCCACAAGGGCAUAAUCCUGGCAACAUAAAAAACUGCAAGUGUUUGGCUGGGCGUGGUGGCUCAUGCCUGUAAUCCCAGCACUUUGGGAGGCUGAGGCGGGCGGAUCACAAGGUCAGGAGAUCGAGACCAUCCUGGCUAACACAGUGAAACCCCAUCUCUACUAAAAAUAUGAAAAUUAGCCAGGUGUGGUGGCGGGCGCCUGUAGUCCCAGUUACUCGGAAGGCUGAGGC
ensembl:lncRNA LINC00630 long intergenic non-protein coding RNA 630